rnacentral:lncRNA from 1 species
UCUUUCAGGUUGGCUGCAGAAGGGCCGAAGAAAGAGGAGUUACUGGAGGAAGAAGUGGUUCAGAGGUGACUAUUCAACCGUAUAAGAGAUGGUGAAAAUUAACCUAUCACCACUUAUUGCUAAUGAACACCACCCUAUGGAGAACCGGAUCUCUCACUCUCACCCAGGUUGGAGUGCAGUGGUGUGAUCACGACUCACUGCAGUCUUGCCACUGAGCCUUGCCAGGCUCAAGCAAUCCUCCUACCUCAGCCUUCUGAGUAGCUGAGACCACAGGGAUGUGAAGAGACAGGGUGUCACUAUAUUGCCCCGGCUAAUCUCGAACUCCUGGACUCAAGCAAUCUGCCCACCUCAGCCUGCCAAAAUGCUGGGAUUACAGGAGAUCCCUAGAGGCAAUUGUCCACCUGACUUCAGAAUCAGAAGUAGCUCUGCUUUUCCUGAGAAGUGGUGCGGGUUUUGCUUUAUGGAUGCUAACUGAGACUGGAUCAGGUUCCCUUUUUUGUAUCAGCUGCUGGUACAAAAUUGAGAGUUGAGAGCCAAAACUGUACCCUUAUCACCUGUCAGUAACUUAAGGAGGAAGCCAGCUACCAUGCCUCCAGGACACUCAAGUAACCCCAUGGAGAUGACAUUGCAGAGAAGAAUUGGUCAAAAGCCAGUACCCACUUUGCCGUCAGUGUGAAUUAUCUACCUUGGAGUGGGUCCUCCAGCCCACAUCAAGCCUUCAUAUAACAGCAGUCCUGAAGGACAUUUGAUUGCAACCUCAUGAAAAUCCAAGUAGGAACUCGCCAGCCAAGUUGCUCCUGAA